GCUGCAUCCAUAGAAGUCAGCUGUUGUAUCGAGCGCAGAGUAUGUCGUUUACGUUGUAAGUACAAGUUAUUUUAUUUGAAGUAAUUGAUUUGAAUUGUGUUGCAAUCACAAACGCUAACAAAUGACACAUUUGAACUUUUUAAGAAUGUGUAAAUCAAUUUUACAUUUGAGCAAUCCAUGCAUUUUUAGCUGUCAUUCAUAUUGCCUGUUUAAAUCUCCGGUUUAGGUUGAGCGGAAUUAAACACCAGCCGUGUUUGACCAAGUGACCAGCAUCUGUGUCAGUUGGCUGGGCAUUUGUGAUCUUACACAACCUGAGCAGAUACCUUUUGUAUUGAGGACACCCCGGUGAUGAUACGGA
ensembl:lncRNA